UAGGGAAUCUUCCGCAAUGGGCGAAAGCUUGACGGAGCAACGCCGCGUGAGUGAUGAAGGUCUUCGGAUCGUAAAACUCUGUUAUUAGGGAAGAACAAAUGUGUAAGUAAGUAUGCACGUCUUGACGGUACCUAAUCAGAAAGCCACGGCUAACUACGUGCCAGCAGCCGCGGUAAUACGUAGGUGGCAAGCGUUAUCCGGAAUUAUUGGGCGUAAAGCGCGCGUAGGCGGUUUUUUAAGUCUGAUGUGAAAGCCCACGGCUCAACCGUGGAGGGUCAUUGGAAACUGGAAAACUUGAGUGCAGAAGAGGAAAGUGGAAUUCCAUGUGUAGCGGUGAAAUGCGCAGAGAUAUGGAGGAACACCAGUGGCGAAGGCGACUUUCUGGUCUGUAACUGACGCUGAUGUGCGAAAGCGUGGGGAUCAAACAGG
rnacentral:rRNA from 1 species